rnacentral:rRNA from 1 species
AUUGAACGCUGGCGGCAUGCCUUACACAUGCAAGUCGAACGGUAACAGGUCUUCGGAUGCUGACGAGUGGCGAACGGGUGAGUAAUACAUCGGAACGUGCCCGAUCGUGGGGGAUAACGGAGCGAAAGCUUUGCUAAUACCGCAUACGAUCUACGGAUGAAAGCAGGGGACCGCAAGGCCUUGCGCGGACGGAGCGGCCGAUGGCAGAUUAGGUAGUUGGUGGGAUAAAAGCUUCCCAAGCCGACGACCUGUAGCGGGUCUGAGAGGACGACCAGCCACACUGGGACUGCGACACGGCCCAGACUCCUACGGGAGGCAGCAGUGGGGAAUUUUGGACAAUGGGCGCAAGCCUGAUCCAGCCAUGCCGCGUGCAGGAUGAAGGCCUUCGGGUUGUAAACUGCUUUUGUACGGAACGAAAAGACUCUGGUUAAUACCUGGGGUUCAUGACGGUACCGUAAGAAUAAGCACCGGCUAACUACGUGCCAGCCGCCGCGGUAAAAC